rnacentral:misc_RNA from 1 species
CGAAAUGCGAUAAGUAAUGUGAAUUGCAGAAUUCAGUGAAUCAUCGAAUCUUUGAACGCACCUUGCGCUCCUUGGUAUUCCUUGGAGCAUGCCUGUUUGAGUAUCAUGAAAUCUUCAAAGUAAAUCUUUUGUUAACUCAAUUGGUUUCUACUUUGGUAUUGGAGGUCUUUGCAGCUCCACACCUGCUCCUCUUUGUUCAUUAGCUGGAUCUCAGUGUUAUGCUUGGUUCCACUCGGCGUGAUAAGUUAUCUAUCGCUGAGGACACUGUAAAAGGUGGCCAAGGUAAAUGCAGAUGAACCGCUUCUAAUAGUCCAUUGACUUGGACAAUACUUUUAUGAUCUGAUCUCAAAUCAGGUAGGACUACCCGCUGAACUUAAGC